rnacentral:piRNA from 1 species
UCAAAUCCAAAGCUGGAGCAA